rnacentral:snRNA from 1 species
GUGUUCACUUCGGCAGCACAUAUACUAAAAUUGGAACGAUAGAGAAAUUAGCAUGGCCCAUGCACAAGGAUGAUAUGCAAAUUUGUGAAGCAUUCCAUAUUUUU